GAUGAACGCUGACAGAAUGCUUAACACAUGCAAGUCAACUUGGACUUCGGUUUGGGUGGCGGACGGGUGAGUAACGCGUAAAGAACCUGCCUCACAGAUAGGGACAACAUUUGGAAACGAAUGCUAAUACCUGAUAUUAUGAUUUUAGGGCAUCCUAGAAUUAUGAAAGCUAUAUGCGCUGUGAGAGAGCUUUGCGUCCCAUUAGCUAGUUGGAGAGGUAACGGCUCACCAAGGCGAUGAUGGGUAGCCGGCCUGAGAGGGUGAUCGGCCACAAGGGGACUGAGACACGGCCCUUACUCCUACGGGAGGCAGCAGUGGGGAAUAUUGGACAAUGGACCAAGAGUCUGAUCCAGCAAUUCUGUGUGCACGAUGAAGUUUUUCGGAAUGUAAAGUGCUUUCAGUUGGGAAGAAAAAAAUGACGGUACCAACAGAAGAAGUGACGGCUAAAUACGUGCCAGCAGCCGCGGUAAUACGUAUGUCACAAGCGUUAUCCGGAUUUAUUGGGCGUAAAGCGCGUCUAGGUGGUUAUGUAAGUCUGAUGUGAAAAUGCAGGGCUCAACUCUGUAUUGCGUUGGAAACUGUGUAACUAGAGUACUGGAGAGGUAAGCGGAACUACAAGUGUAGAGGUGAAAUUCGUAUAUAUUUGUAGGGAAUGCCGAUGGGGAACCAGCUUACUGGACAGAUACUGACGCUGAACGCGAAAGCGUGGGUAGCAAACAAG
rnacentral:rRNA from 1 species